CAAGUGCAUAAUUAAUGAUGCAGGUCGAAUAGAGUCGAUUCGUUUAAACUCAUUUUAUUUAGUAUUUUUUCAAGUAUUUUUACUGAGGUUUUCAUGAGACUGUCAAUAGUACUAUUGUUUCCUACCCUAUAGUUAUUAGGUUAUUUAUAUACCUCUCUGCUGUCUUCUUUUGCCCAAUUAUGAAGACCUCAAAUAACAACCCUUCUAGCUUCCUUUCAAGCUUCUAAGUUCUAUCUACUGACUGGUAUAUCCAUCUAAGCAACUUCACUUAGAGCCUUCCAUGGUUCUUGCCAAGUUCCACAAAUUUUUUUCCCUUAGAGCCUUCUCUAAGCAACUUCACUUGAAUAACACACCAAUGCCCCUUAGGUCUGCAGUAAAAUUGUCAGUAUAUAAUUUUAUUAUUAGGUAGGCUAAUACUAAAUCACCAAUAACAGUUGUAAUUAUAUCCUAAGAACUAAUACUAAACUAACAUGAUGCAUCUCUCAAACAUAGACCUCAGAACUGAAGUAUUGGGAUCCUCAAGAAAGCCCCUUCUUUAACUUCAUAUUUCAACUUCUGAUAAAUAAACAACCAGCUGCUUCUUGUUAUGCAAUAUCAAUCCGAAUGAUCGAGAAUUGAAAGAGAUCCAGAACAAGGAAACUCUCACUUAUUCGAGGCAGUCAUAGUAUCUUAGAUCGUGAUGAACUGAUGAUAAUAUUCACCAAAAAAUUGAGAUUGUUUACAAUUCGUACACAUUGUUGAAUAUGUUCUCAGAAGUGUGCGUGUUUCAUCUAACUACUCCAGUAAAAGAAAUACUUUCAAAUCCGCAAAAAUAAUCUUUUGUUGAAUAAUCGAAUCAGAAACAAAAAUUAAUAAAUAAAUAAGAAACUCACUGUUGUUCUUGGCAGCGAAAAUGGCAGAGCAAUCGGAGCAUUCUUCAACCAAUGCUGAAACCGGAGAGAAUACAGAAAGGCAAGCUUAUUGCAAGUUGGGACCGUUGGGCCGCUAGAAAAAGUUGGGCUGCCAUUUGUAAUUUAGGCAAGCUUUCUUGUACCCAUAACCCAGGAACCCAAAUCAUCAUUAUAUGCCCUCAAGCCCAACUGUUGACCCAAUAAAUCUUUGGGCCAAAAUCAAGAAGCCGGGUGCGCCAGAUUCAAGUCAUUCAACGCUAAUACAUCACCCCCGUGCCGUCUCCGCCACAAGGAGUCACCACAACACAAUCUCCACAGCCGCCACAACCGUCACUAUUAAGAGCCAGCCUCACCACAGUAAUUAUCUUCUUUUAAUGUAGCAAACACAUCAAGCCCGGAUAGAGAAAACAGGGUUUGUCAUCAUCAUCAGAGGAAAUGAAGUAUAUCACUUCGUUCUUCUAAGUUCGGAUUUUGUCGAAGGCUGAGAGUCUUGAGAUAUAUUAUAUUUUAUUAUACACUCAUUUUACCACUAAUUAAACAAAUUAAAGAGUAAUUAUUCUCUAUACUUGGAACACCACAUUGACAACAAAAUUACUGUAUUUGUUUUACACAUUUAUAUAUAAUUUAACUAAGUUACUACAACGAUAAUAAGUUGUUCAGAAAUUUGUAAAUUGUCUUAAGUUAAAUAAUUACCUCUAAUAGAACAAAAAUUACUCAAGUAAUGACUAUAUUUACCAAAACAACAUCAACAAAUUAAUUGUCAUAUUGAUAAAUGUAGAUAUCACAAAC
rnacentral:lncRNA from 1 species